rnacentral:lncRNA from 1 species
AUGGACUCUGAAGUGGAUUCCGCGGUGUAUCAUCCAGAUGCCAUCUUUAGGAUGGAAGCACUGGUUUCCCCUCAGCUUUGGGGAGUGUUGGCUGCUGACGGCUCAAAGCUGAGUCUCUCUGGGCACUGCCCUCCCUCAAGGUUGUGACUCCUCCCUGAGAGCAGCUUGCAUCCAAAGACUGAUUUGUGAGGCACGUCAAGGGCUGGCCUACUGCCUUGAUUCAAGACAUCUGAAGGGCCAUCCCAGCUUCAGAGCUACCCACGAGAUCAAGUGAGGAGUCUGAGGAACUGGAGAAGGUCUGGCGCUUGCAGAUCUGUUCUAUGAAGAAAAGGGUUGAGUUUAUUUUUUAAUUCUGGAUAUACAGGGAAGAAAUGGAGAGAAGUAAAAGGAGGAAAUAUGAAGUGAAAUCAAAAGACUGUUCCAACUAGGAAAGGCCAGGCACCUUGCCCGUGACCCUUCUAGGACCCUGCAGAUCUCCCUCAAGUGAUGAGAUGCAGGACUUGGCGGGGAGUAUCCCUCCCCUGAAGCUCUGGGCUGUGAGGAGGUGGGUGGGCUCCACCUUAAAAGAAGGAUGUGAGUGUUUGUAAUCACAUCAGUUACACUCUGCUGCCAAGACUACUGAAGGCCGGUCACACUCACAGUCUUUCCUAAUUAUCAAAGCUGUCUGUGUUCAGAAACAGACUGUAGCUUCUAGGCAGAGUGCUUCGUCCCAGCAUCACUCAUCUGCUGUUUGUUGAACUGAAAUGAACAUCUUGUCCAAUUUUAACUCUCGAGUUUUUGGCAAUUGGCUGAAUUGGAAAGUCGAAGAUGCAUUUAGAGGAGAGGAUAUUGCCGAGCACUGCAGCUGCAAGAAUCUCUUUUUAAAACCUAAAGUCUGUUACAUAAAUUAUGCACUCUUUAAAUUCUCUUCUACGUUCAUUUACACAGUUGAUCAUCAAAACUGCUUUAGAAAUACGUGCAUCAAAUAUUCAGCAUAUUUUUAAAGCUUCCUUAAUACCAUGCCUAGUAAGUGGAUGCAAUUAUGUAUUUAUUUACAACAAACACCUAUGACUAGCACAAAACCUAAUUACAGUCUAUCAUUACCUCUGAAUCAUUCCAAUGGAAAUGUUUUCUCUCACUGUAUUCAUAUUGUUUUGGUGCAUGAGUAUAGAAGGCAGCAGAUUGUUUUCUGUGAUCAUAGAUUUUAAAUAUUUACUUGCUUGUGCUGCAUAAUUCAGCACACUGGAGUUGGAAAGCAGUUUGUAUGGUAGCUGAUGCCA